rnacentral:rRNA from 1 species
CCGACGGUGAGAGGCGAAAGCUGGGGGAGCAAACCGGAUUAGAUACCCGGGUAGUCCCAGCUGUAAACGAUGCGCGUUAGGUGCGUCAGUGACCACGUGUCACUGAUGUGCCGAAGGGAAACCGUGAAACGCGCCGCCUGGGGAGUACGGUCGCAAGGCUGAAACUUAAAGGAAUUGGCGGGGGAGCAACACAACGGGUGGAGCCUGCGGUUUAAUCGGACUCAACGCCGGAAAUCUCACCGGAUAA